rnacentral:rRNA from 1 species
GGUUAAGCGACUAAGCGUACACGGUGGAUGCCCUGGCAGUCAGAGGCGAUGAAGGACGUGCUAAUCUGCGAAAAGCGUCGGUAAGGUGAUAUGAACCGUUACAGCCGGCGAUGUCCGAAUGGGGAAACCCAGUGCAAUUCGUUGCACUAUCGUUUGAUGAAUACAUAGUCAAACGAGGCGAACCGGGGGAACUGAAACAUCUAAGUACCCCGAGGAAAAGAAAUCAACCGAGAUUCCCCCAGUAGCGGCGAGCGAACGGGGAGCAGCCCGGAGUCUGAAUCAGCUUGUGUGUUAGUGGAAGCGUCUGGAAAGUCGCAGGGUACAGGGUGAUACUCCCGUACACUAAAACGCACAGGUUGUGAACUCGAAGAGUAGGGCGGGACACGUGGUAUCCUGUCUGAAUAUGGGGGGACCAUCCUCCAAGGCUAAAUACUCCUGACUGACCGAUAGUGAACCAGUACCGUGAGGGAAAGGCGAAAAGAACCCCGGCGAGGGGAGUGAAAAAGAACCUGAAACCGUGUACGUACAAGCAGUAGGAGCCCACUUGUUGGGUGACUGCGUACCUUUUGUAUAAUGGGUCAGCGACUUAUAUUCUGUAGCAAGGUUAACCGUAUAGGGGAGCCGCAGGGAAACCGAGUCUUAACUGGGCGUUAAGUUGCAGGGUAUAGACCCGAAACCCGGUGAUCUAGCCAUGGGCAGGUUGAAGGUUGGGUAACACUAACUGGAGGACCGAACCGACUAAUGUUGAAAAAUUAGCGGAUGACUUGUGGCUGGGGGUGAAAGGCCAAUCAAACCGGGAGAUAGCUGGUUCUCCCCGAAAGCUAUUUAGGUAGCGCCUUGUGAACUCAUCUUCGGGGGUAGAGCACUGUUUCGGCUAGGGGGUCAUCCCGACUUACCAACCCGAUGCAAACUACGAAUACCGAAGAAUGUUAUCACGGGAGACACACGGCGGGUGCUAACGUCCGUCGUGAAGAGGGAAACAACCCAGACCGCCAGCUAAGGUCCCAAAGUCAUGGUUAAGUGGGAAACGAUGUGGGAAGGCCCAGACAGCCAGGAUGUUGGCUUAGAAGCAGCCAUCAUUUAAAGAAAGCGUAAUAGCUCACUGGUCGAGUCGGCCUGCGCGGAAGAUGUAACGGGGCUAAACCAUGCACCGAAGCUGCGGCAGCGACGCUUAUGCGUUGUUGGGUAGGGGAGCGUUCUGUAAGCCGUUGAAGGUGGCCUGUGAGGGUUGCUGGAGGUAUCAGAAGUGCGAAUGCUGACAUAAGUAACGAUAAUGCGGGUGAAAAACCCGCACGCCGGAAGACCAAGGGUUCCUGUCCAACGUUAAUCGGGGCAGGGUGAGUCGACCCCUAAGGCGAGGCCGAAAGGCGUAGUCGAUGGGAAACAGGUUAAUAUUCCUGUACUUGGUGUUACUGCGAAGGGGGGACGGAGAAGGCUAUGUUGGCCGGGCGACGGUUGUCCCGGUUUAAGCGUGUAGGUGUGUGUUCCAGGUAAAUCCGGUUCACUUUAACACUGAGGCGUGAUGACGAGGCACUACGGUGCUGAAGUGACAAAUGCCCUGCUUCCAGGAAAAGCCUCUAAGCAUCAGGUAACAUCAAAUCGUACCCCAAACCGACACAGGUGGUCAGGUAGAGAAUACCAAGGCGCUUGAGAGAACUCGGGUGAAGGAACUAGGCAAAAUGGUGCCGUAACUUCGGGAGAAGGCACGCUGAUACGUAGGUGAAGUGGUUUACCCAUGGAGCUGAAAUCAGUCGAAGAUACCAGCUGGCUGCAACUGUUUAUUAAAAACACAGCACUGUGCAAACACGAAAGUGGACGUAUACGGUGUGACGCCUGCCCGGUGCCGGAAGGUUAAUUGAUGGGGUUAUCCGUAAGGAGAAGCUCUUGAUCGAAGCCCCGGUAAACGGCGGCCGUAACUAUAACGGUCCUAAGGUAGCGAAAUUCCUUGUCGGGUAAGUUCCGACCUGCACGAAUGGCGUAAUGAUGGCCAGGCUGUCUCCACCCGAGACUCAGUGAAAUUGAACUCGCUGUGAAGAUGCAGUGUACCCGCGGCAAGACGGAAAGACCCCGUGAACCUUUACUAUAGCUUGACACUGAACACUGGUCCUUGAUGUGUAGGAUAGGUGGGAGGCUUUGAAGUGUGGACGCCAGUCUGCAUGGAGCCAUCCUUGAAAUACCACCCUUUAAUGGCUGGUGUUCUAACGUGGGCCCCUAAUCGGGGUUGCGGACAGUGUCUGGUGGGUAGUUUGACUGGGGCGGUCUCCUCCUAAAGAGUAACGGAGGAGCACGAAGGUCAGCUAAUCCUGGUCGGACAUCAGGAGGUUAGUGCAAUGGCAUAAGCUGGCUUGACUGCGAGCGUGACGGCGCGAGCAGGUGCGAAAGCAGGUCAUAGUGAUCCGGUGGUUCUGAAUGGAAGGGCCAUCGCUCAACGGAUAAAAGGUACUCCGGGGAUAACAGGCUGAUACCGCCCAAGAGUUCAUAUCGACGGCGGUGUUUGGCACCUCGAUGUCGGCUCAUCACAUCCUGGGGCUGAAGUAGGUCCCAAGGGUAUGGCUGUUCGCCAUUUAAAGUGGUACGCGAGCUGGGUUUAGAACGUCGUGAGACAGUUCGGUCCCUAUCUGCCGUGGGCGCUGGAGAAUUGAGGGGGGCUGCUCCUAGUACGAGAGGACCGGAGUGGACGCAUCACUGGUGUUCGGGUUGUCAUGCCAAUGGCAUUGCCCGGUAGCUAAAUGCGGAAGAGAUAAGUGCUGAAAGCAUCUAAGUACGAAACUUGCCCCGAGAUGAGUUCUCCCUGACCCUUUAAGGGUCCUGAAGGAACGUUGAAGACGACGACGUUGAUAGGCCGGGUGUGUAAGCGCAGCGAUGCGUUGAGCUAACCGGUACUAAUGAACCGUGAGGCUUAACCUU